GAUCUUCUCAUUCUGCUGCUGUAUCACUUCCUGGAGCUCCUUUUCAUUCUGUGAGGGAAAGGGAGGUGAGAAGACACAUGGAGAGCUGGUCUCUUCACAGCCCUUGCCAGGAGUGCACACUGCGGGGAGGCCAAAGAAGGCUAUAUUUCUGCUUUCUUGAAACAUAGUCUGGUUGAAGAGACCAGGUAUCCAAGGAAAAUUAAUACAAAUACAAAAGGAGAGUAAGUUCAUGAGAAAUAUGGCAGAAGAAAAGAUCACCGGGUCCACAUGAUUUGAUUUGGGAACAUUUCAAAGAAGUGGCCUACAAAGGGACCUGGCAAGCUUCAGGGGAAGAGGAUGCAUGGCAGAUUCAGGGAUGGGAAACAAGGUCAAGAACAAGAGGAAAGGACACAAAGAUAAGAAAACAAGUGGGAAAUUGAACAGCUGGAGGAACACGGAGCUUAUGGUUUCCAGGAUUUUUGGCAAAUGGUAAGGUCAUUACUUUGAGGAUAUUUUCAACUCAAAGGAGGUCUCUGCACAUUUGGGGACCAUCUCUUCUUAGCAGCAGCCACCUAUUAUCUCAACAGCCACAAUGGUGAGGUGCUAUCAAUUCCUUCACCUGCCACCAUUCCCUUCCUUCCUAGGCCUGUGUUGUAACAGAAUCCUCUAGAACAUUGUUGUUGUUGUUGUUUGAGACAGCCUUACUCUGUUGCCCAGGCUGGAGUACACUGGUGCGAUCUCGGCUCACUGCAACCUCUGCCUCCUGGGUUCAAGCGAUUCUCAUGCCUCAGCCACCCAAGUAGCUGGGAUUACAGGAGUGCACUACCAUACCCAGCUAACUUUUGUAUUUUUAAUAGAGAUGGGGUUUCACUAUGUUAGCCAGGCUGGUCUCAAACUCCUGGCCUCAAGUGAUCUGCCAGCCUCAGCCUCCCAAAGUGCUGGGAUUAUAAGCAUGAGCCACCACAUUGGGCCAACAGUGGUCUUUUAGCUACUUUCCUCUAAUAUUUCCCACAAAAACUAAGUACCCUUAAGUUUAAAUUGUUGCAAAGGCUGUAAUGUCCAGCAUAUUACCAAUAUUGACAAUUUAAAAUUUUUUUUUUUUUUUUGAGACAGAGUCUUACUCUAUCCCCCAGGCUGGAGUGCAGUGGCGCGAUCUUGGCUCACUGUAACCUCUGCCUCCCGGGUUCAAGCAAUUCUCAUGCCUCAGCCUCCUAAGUAGCUGGAAUUACAGGUGCCCUCCACCACACCCGGCUAAUUUUUGUAUUUUUAGUAGAGACGGGGUUUCGCCAUGUUGGCCAGGCUGGUCUUGAACUCCUGACCUCAGGUGAUCCGCCCGCCUCGGCCUUCCAAAGUGCUGGGAUUACAGGUGUGAGCCACCGUGCCCAGCCUAAAAUAAAAUUAUUAGAUUAUUCUUAAAUAUAUCCAGUGGCAUAAAUACCACAUACACCAAAAUGAUGAGAUACCUAGUUGCUAUCUUUUAAAAAUACAAGAAAAAGCUCUUCUUAGCAGUCAGAAAUUUUACUAUGUCGUGCCUUUUUCUCUUUGAACAUAUAUUUUUUAUUUUUCUCAGAAUUUCAUCCUAAUGUAAUAUAUUUGUAUGCUUUAAAGUCUGUUAUUAGCUGGGCACAGUGGCUCACAGCUGUAAUCUCAGUGCUUUGGGAGGCAAAGGCUAGCAGAUCACUUGAGCCCAGGAGUUUGAGAACAGCCUGGCCAACAUAGCAAAACCCCAUCUCUACUAAAAAUACAAAAAAAUUAGGUAGGUGUGGUGGCAUACACCUACAGUCCUAGCUACCCAGGAGGCUGAGGUGGGAGGAUCACCUGAGCCAAGGAAGCUGAGGCUUCAGUGAGCCCUGAUCACAACAUGGUACUCUAGCCUGGGUGACAGACCGAGACACUAUCUCAAAAAAUAAAAAUAAAAUCUGUUAUUAACCAUCAUCUCUGCAACAACAACAAAAGGUCAUCUAAAUUUAAAUUAAAAUUUCCUUUAAAUUCCUUUGACCAGAAGGCUUUAAAGUGAAAAAGCUUUCUUUUGGAUAGAGAAAUCUUUUAAUCAGUUGUAUAUUAGUCACUGUAAUAUAAUUUCUAAUAAAAUAAACAUGCUUAGCAAAAUUUAAUUAGGAAUCACCUAUUAAUGAAAUCGAUGCAGCUUCCUUCCCCUUAUUAGUUCAUAUAUCUGUGGAUUACUAUAAUUCCAGCAAUAAGAAAUGGUUCAGCAACAAUUCAUGACUCUUUGUUUUUUGAGGUAGGGUCUGGCUCUGUCACCCAGGCUGGAGUGCAGUGGCAAGAUCUCAGUUCACUGCAGCCUUGAACUCCUGGCCUCAAGUGAUCCUCCACCUCAGCCUUCCAAGUAGCUGGGACUAUAGGCACACACCCCCGCACCCAGCUAAUUUUUGUAUUUUUUUGUAGAGAUGAGGUUUCACCAUAUUUCUCAGGCUGGUCUUGAACUCCUGAGCUCAAGCGAUCCUCCCACCUCACCCUCCCAAAGUACUGAGAUUACAGGGGUGAGCCGCCAUGCCGGCUGACUCCUUUCCAUUCUGACAGAUGUAAACACUGAGAAAUCUUCUUCACAUAAACAAUAGGGGCCGGGCGCAGUGGCUCAUGCCUGUAAUCCCAGCACUUUGGGAGGCUGAGGCAGGUGGAUCCUGAGGUCAGAAGUUCGAAACCAGCCUGACCAAGAUAGUGAAACCCUGUCUCUACUAAAAAUACAAAAAUUA